rnacentral:misc_RNA from 1 species
GAAAUGCGAUAAGUAAUGUGAAUUGCAGAAUUCCGUGAAUCAUCGAAUCUUUGAACGCACAUUGCGCCCUCUGGUAUUCCGGGGGGCAUGCCUGUCCGAGCGUCAUUGCGAACCCCUCAAGCACGGCUUGUGUGAUGGGCCCUCCCGCGUCUUGGUCGUCAAGACGGGCCCGAAAAGCAGUGGCGGCUUCGCGGUUAUCCGAUCAGCCAGAGCGUAUGGGGACUUUCUCUCUGUCACACGCCCGCGGCGCGGACCGACGCCUGUCGACCUUUAUUCCUCUUUUUCUCGUUUGACCUCGGAUCAGGUAGGGAUACCCGCUGAACUUAAGC